UAGGGAAUAUUGGACAAUGGACGCAAGUCUGAUCCAGCCAUGCCGCGUGCAGGAUGACAGCCCUCUGGGUUGUAAACUGCUUUUAUAUGAGAAGAAACCCUCAGAUGCGUUUGAGGCUGACGGUAUCAUAUGAAUAAGGAUCGGCUAACUUCGUGCCAGCAGCCGCGGUAAGACGAAGGAUCCAAGCGUUGUCCGGAUUUACUGGGUUUAAAGGAUGCGUAGGCGGACACUUAAGCCAGUGGUGAAAUCCCAUAGCUCAACUAUGGAACUGCCAUUGGAACUGUGUGUCUUGAAUUCGGUUGAGGUAGAUGGAAUAUAACAUGUAGCGGUGAAAUGCUUAGAUAUGUUAU
rnacentral:rRNA from 1 species